GCCCCCUUCAGGUACUGGAAGGGUUUUGAUGGGCUUGAUGAUCUCAAAGGUCCCUUCCAACCAUGGAUAUUCUGUGAUUCUGUGAUAGACUAAACCGAUGGGAGAAAGAAAAUCUUUGGGUGGCACACCAGUCUCAAAACAACCUGACUCCAAAAGAGUGUAAGCCUACUGCCUGCCUUUAAAAUGCCCCAAAAGGUUGAAAUAACCAGUCGUAACUACAUGAGAAGACUUCUCGUAGGAUGUCUUUUCAAAGACUCUUCCAAGGAAAAAUUGCACAUUUGAGGAUAUUUUGUAUCUUAAGUGGCCUCGGAAUGAAUGGAAUGGAUACAGCCAUGCUCAGUUGUGGUUAUACAAAUGAGACUCAUUCUACAAUAAGAAUAAUUGAUCUCAUUAAAGGAUUACAGCUCUGACCUGGGCCUUUUAUGCUUCAUGAAGCCAGACUAUACUAUACUAGUUUUACUGAGGGACUCAGUCAUAAGUUCAUAAGUUCAUUGGCAGCUUUUAGGUGUGUUUUGUUUUGGUUUUUUUUAAAAUAUAUGAACGUAGAUUUAUAUUCGAACAACCUAAAUAUAUAUAUAUACUUUACCUAGUAUGUCCAUUGUUGUGAAAAUGAAGCCCUGCAGUAACCAGCUGCCAUCUGCAUAGGGGUAAAGCCCUGUCAUGGCAACUCCUAAGUGUGUCAGUAUUUCAGGUAGUCUUACACACAUCUGUUUAUAAAGGCAAGAGAUGGUUACCAGUUUUUAUUUGUCUCCACAUUGUAUCGGCCAGAUAUUGUGAGCAGUGCAUGGCAGUUGCAUAUCUAUAAUACAGCAGGUCAAAAGCUUAAACAGGUUCUCUCUGUACAUUCAGUAAUGUUUCUAAUUGUAAUUAUCGCUAGUCAUUUGAAAUUGCAGUUGCAUUUUCUGAGCGUAAAGACAGCUUUGAAAAAAGAAAAAAAAAAAAAGAGCAUGCAUGAGAUACUGAGGAGGCCAGGAAAUUCUGCACUGAAGUAUUUAUACAGUUUAUUUAUUUAUUUAUCGUACACUAAGAGCUGAGCCCCUGCUUCAAGAAGACAUCUCCCCAUGCUGGCAGAUGAUUUAGGCAUCUAAAUUCGUUCCCCACCUAAAGCUAAGGUCAGGUUUUCCUGAAUCGGGGACCGAGCAGACUAAGCCAUUAAAAGCAUUGUACAAUCCUUUUGGGUGGCCACAAAUAGUGGCGAGACCUUCGCUGAUGCUUCUUGUAACUUAUAAGAGUUGAGAAGUUGAGGAACGCUGAGAGACCCAAAGAUGCUUCUGCAAUGCUCACCUCUUGAUCUUUAAGAGUAGAAAUAUACAAACAGCAGGUACUCUUUGCACUCUAAUGUGUGUUAAAUAUCACUGUCACGAGGUACCAUUUGCAAUAAUUAAAAUUCACAUUUCAUAAGAUACCAACAAGUAGGGUUUUUUUUUAAUUUAUUUAUUUUAUGGGGUCUGAAUUUUUAGUAAUUUUCUUUUAGCCAGGAAGUAAUCUUCCUUUGCCUGGUUUUCCCCAGCUCCCUUCAUAGUAAAGGGCUGUGGCUAAAUGUGAAGAGCUCUCUUUCAAACGGAUGGCGGGCGGUAGCAAAUGCUUGGGCGGAGCUGACGUUUAUUGCCCCAGCUUUAUGACGGGGUAAUUACCAUUUACAGUAGGCAAGGUUCUCCGCCUUGGGAUCCUGUAGUAAAAAUGGUCCCACCACUCCCAGAUGUGACACUUCCCUAUUUCUACUGCGUUGUUUCGGUUUCAAGGAGGUCAGGAGAUGUCCACUGUAGAAGACUACAUCACGUCAUUGCUAUGGCUGAGUGACAGUAGGGCUUGUUGUUGGGAAAUACAAGAACAACGACGGAGUCAUUUUACAGUCAGCAUAUUGGUGGGGGAAAGCUGGAAGCCUGUAUUUCAUGAACUGUUAAAGACUCGGGGAUUUUUCUGAUUAGAAAAGACAAAAUUGGAAGAUAAAGGCUGAUUGCAUAAAGUACUGCAUCAGUCUUUCGGAAAGGUUCGUAUAAUGUUCGAGAUUCACAUAAAGUGAGCUUCCACAUUCUGUCAAGCACAAAGCUCAGCCGAGUCGUUCUUCCUAAAUUCUCAGAAACAAUCCUUUUCUUUCAGUAGUUCUCACUGGUGAGUCAAAACCUCCGGGUGUAACAUACAUUUCUGUGACAUACGUUCCUGCAUCUCAGAAUUGUAUUGUGAAAUUGCACAAUGCUUAAGGUCAAAGGAGCAAGCACAGAGCUUGAACUACGACGAGCUCUUGAAAGAAGCCAAAGCAAGAUGUUUGGUGGAAUGACUUGACUCAGUUCUUAAGGAUUUCUUCAAAAAACAGAAAAUAGAAGCAAAGGAUACAAAGUAUGGUUCUGUUGUUAUUCAGCCCCCAUGGAGAGCGAGCGCAAACGAGAAUGAUGUGGCACCACAAAGAGCUGGUUAGUGUGUAAUUAAAAACUGGCAAGUUUUGCAGGGGUUUCAUUUACCCAGAGGUUUGUGCCCGGAUAUUAUUUGAUCUUUACAACUCUCGCCCUCCUGAUGAAAGGUAUUCCUUCCCAGUGAGAAAUACUGCAUCCCUUUAUCAGGGGGAGGGGAAGAGAUAUGCCAAAAACAAUGUCUCCAACUUGGUUCUUACCCAAGCUUCACAAGUAUGUGUUUUAUCUGUUCCACUAAUGGUUGUGUAAACCUGCUGGUAGCAACCCGCAUACCUGAGAGAUGAGCUGCUGUGCAGUGGACUUUGCCACGUGUUGAAGAUUUAGGGACAAAUUUUGCUUAAUGUUCCCUUGAGGAAUAGUUUGAUUGGCUUCACUGCCUGCCCUUCUGAAGCUGAGAGUCAUUACUAGGCCAUUAACGCAGACAGUAUUUGUAAGAGAUGACUAAAGGAGCGAUAGGUUCUGUUCAUCCUCACAUGGAGUGUUUUCAAGACUGAACCCAAACUAGGAAAUGUUUCUUGGGGGUUUGGGGACUUUUUUUUGCUGUCGAGGUCCUCCUGUGCGAUCCGAAAUCCUGUCGGUAAGGUUUGGUGAGGGUUCAGGUUCAUUAGUUCAGCGCAUCCCUCAGAGCUUCAGCCAACGGGGCCGCGCAGGAGGGCAGGACUGGUGCUUCUCUUCAGUCCAUGGUUCCUCUGGUGAGCAGCCCCGCGGGGUGAAGUUCACUUCUGCCUACAGCCCUGGCAAUGGGGGUUCCUACACUGGUACAUCAGCGUUUGGCUAGAACAAAAAGGUGAGCACACAGACCCAUUCAUCCUCAGGUACGUUGCACAACUUUCAGGGGCUCCUGCCCUCCCCUACAUCACUUCUUCCACCACCUCCUCCUCCUCUCCUCUUCCUCUUCCUCUCCUCCUCCUCUCCUCCUCCUCUUCCUCUUCCUUUUCCUCUUCCUCUCCUCCUCCUCUUCCUCCUCCUCUCCCUCCUCCUCUCCUCUUCCUCCUCCUCUUCCUCCUCCCCUGGCUCAUCUAGUUGUUGUUUGUUUUUUUUGACCAGCACUUUAGAUAGCUCCCAUUUAUGCACUAAAAAACGUGGCUGAAUUCUCAGAAGAGCUGGGCCCCUGCUCGCCACCAAAGGGCAAUGGGUGCUGUUGGGUGCAGGCUCUCUGAGAAACUUCCCCUUUGUUUUCUUUUCCUCGCGGGGGCUUUGUCCCCCCCCCCCAUGCCCCUGUGGUUGCAGUGAGUUUGCAGGUACGUACCCUGUAAGAGCGAGUCAGCAGGUGUAAGGACAGCUGGUUUCUUUGCACAAGGGCCACUUUUAGCCCCCUUUUUUCUUUUUUGUCAGAGCCAAGCCCAAACUGUCACAUUUACACGGUGGUGUCCCUGACCUAAUGAGCACCAUCAGAGGCAGCCCAGGUCUGCACCCUGCCAUCAGCUUUGCACCACCAGGGCAGGCGGGGAGAGACCCGGUGCCUGCAACUGGGGAAGGGGCAGUGGAGGGUGGUGUUUAAAUCAUCUCGUGGCCCAGCAGUUAGCUGUUCAAGAUCUGGUAAUUUUGUGGAGCUAUAAUGGAAAACUUGGGGUUUGUACCGUUAGGAAAGUCUUUGACCACCGAAUGCGAUCCCAACGUGUUCUGAGCUUGUUCUAAAACUGACCGUGACGAAACCAUAGAGACCUCUUGGAAUGUGUGUGCGUGGUGAGUUUUCUGGUGCAGUCACAGCAUCAAAGGUGCAGGGAGCACAGCAAUAAAAGUGACUGAUAAGAGCACCUUUUGUUUGAUUUGGGGUCAAACCACGCUGUCCGGGUUCCGUUUCACUGAGAGGGAAGAUUCUGGGAUGCUUCUAACUGUAAGGAAGAAAAUGUACGUGGAAAUGCAGUGCAAAUGCACAUAUAAUGUAUGUUUAUUUACAGCCAGCCAGAAAACAAAGGAAUCGGUGGUUUCUAGUAACACGAUUCUAGUCAAAAUAGCUUUUUAUUAAGUCGUCUUCGAAGUGUUAAAACGGUGGAGCCACAGACAAAACAUUUGUUACCUUUUGAAAUGAGUUACAAUGGUUUUGUCAUACCUGUACAAGUAUUAUAAGGUCAGUCUUUCUAUAUGUUUGUUUUACAACUUGUAGAAUAGUCUUCUAUGCAUAGCUGUUCCACUUGCCUGUGUAAGUUACAAAUUUAACAGAAAUGAAAGCAUGCAUUUUUCUCUGUUUGCUGGUAACCUAUGAAAUUAGAAACUUGUAUUUCUGUGUUUUUAAUGUGUUAUACUAUAAACAAAAUUCACAGCACUAUUGUCUAUGGAAUAUCAAAAAGUUUUAUUAGAAUGAAUUACUUUAAAUGUUUUGUCAUUUGAUUUAAUAAUGUGUCAGACAUCUACACUAAGACAAUAUAAUGUUUAUCAAUAAAAAUAUCCUCUCUUUGUACUAACUUAACACUUCAGGGUGUGCUUGGACAUAGGAGUAGAGCACCCCUGUGGGUCACAAUCCCAAUGUUCUAUUCAUUUUUGGCCUAAUUCUGAGAAUACUUCGUACCACUCGUUUGAGAGCUGAGCAUUGAAUUAGGGAGUGAAGGAAGAAGAAAAGGGGGGGUUUUAUUCUUUGUCUUUCCUUCGCCACUUGGUGUGUGUUUGCUGGGAAGGUGUGGGGCAGUGGUCCAUGCAGAAGUUGGCUGGCUUGUGUGACCUCUACGUGUCGGAGUCCGUACAGAAACAAACACGUGGGGCAUUUUAUUUGCUCUUAUUGUAAUGAGUCAAAUUCUGCUCCAUUGCAGCAAUGCAGAUCUGAAAUCGCUGCACCGGAGUCAGCUAUUCUCUUCUCACAGCUGGAAGGACUCUGUGCCUGUGACUGUUCAGCCACUGACAGCCGUGGGUAGGAGAUCCAGUCCUCCCUCUGAAGUUUUCUUUCUGGAGUAAUAUUUUCGGUAAUGUUUGGAAUAAUAACGGGGGGGGGUUCUGAUGCAGCAGUUGCCAUUACAGAAAGCUGCAGAAAACCUGUGGAAAAGGCUCGUUAAAAGGCACACCUCUGGAGCAGUAAAAUACUUGUGCUGCUUUUUUACUGCACCAGCUGAGCAGAGACUGCAGUUUCCCCCCUAAAUCUGAGCCUGCCGUGGUGACAGGACUCUCCUUGCUUCUCCUCAUGGCUUGAGAAUGUUGGGACCCUUCAGCUGACAUCCUCUCCCCGUUAUACUUUAUCUGAAAGAAGGGCUUGAGAUCCUUGAAUGAAAAGCCCUGUAAUUGGGACCGGCUACCUCACUGUCAUGGUUUCAGCUGGGAUAGAGUUGACUUUCUAAAAUGCCUUUUGCUCGUGUUUCAUAACAGUUGCUGCCAAAAUGGUGUCUUUCUUCUGAAGCACCCACCGUGUCCACAAGAAGCAGUGGUACGUAUGUCUUAGGCAGGAGAGGUUAUUUAUUUACACCCCCGCAGCUGUUUCCAGGUGCAGAAGAGCCCUUGUGGUGCGGAAAAGGCACACACGCUGAUCCCACCUCUCUGUCCGUGAGCACAGAGAUGAGGUGCUGCCUUUGAUGUUAAUGCAGAAAAUAUCUUCACAUCGGUGCAAGCCCAGCAGUUGCCGCGAAAAUAUUUUCCAUUAGUUCAGUUGUUUGCUUUCCAACUCCGUGUGCUGGCAGCCCAAAAGUUUGGAGCUGUGCCAGUUGGCUGUUGGACUCUGAAGAUACUCUCACUCCCUACCCCCUGCCAAGGUGAUAUGCCAAAUAUGCAUCUUUUUUGAUUCGGCCUAGCGAUUACUUCACUUUAGAAAAAUUUUGUGUAACUUACAGCCUGAAAAGCUAGAAAUUAGUUUUCAGAGGUCAUGGGGAGUAAUUGAAUUUCUAGCCGCUUUUGUUAAAGUUAGGAAAACUGGAGUGUUAAGGCAAGCCAUCAUUGCUUUUGCUGGAGGAGUUAUGGGAAAGUAUCUAUUUCAUAUUCAUGUAUUCACUUUUGCAUUUUUAGAAGCUGUUGCUGUGUCGUCUUUGCCGUUAUUCAUCAGACAUCACAAACCCUGCCUAAGCAAAGAUGUGUGGUUUUAGUGCAGAAUGGAAAAAAUGGAACAUCAGAGCAUGAGUACAAAGUGGUGAAAAGAAAACUAACUCUCCUCUCCUACCUGGCCUUCUCCAUCCAUCAUAAAGAUGCCAAACUAAGGCACAAAUCCUAUUCAUUUUCCCUUUGGAGGUCACUUCUGGCACUUCUUGCUUUACAGAGGCCUGACUUGUGUCUUUGCCACCCUGAGAGCUAUUUGCUUUGAAAUACCGCUUCCAGAGGUGAGAGAACUUUUCUCAGUAACCCUUGCAGAUAACCCUCUCCCUCCAGGCUCUGCCCAGUUGAUUUUGACCUGUUUGUUACAUCCUUUGCUGCUUGAAUAAAACUGCAUCUUCCUUGUUCUCAGCAUCGCGUCCUCGGACUGAUAACUUGGAAGUCUUCAGUUGUUCCGAAAUCGUGUGUUGCAAAAGGACUGAUUAAUGAAUGUCUCUGCUGCUGGGGGAAAUGUCUUUUCUUCUUUGUUUUAAUCUUUGGAGUGACAUCUGGAAAAAAAAAAAA